AAUGGGAUUUGUCUUCGGUGCUUGAAUUAAAAGAGGAUGAUAUAUUCGAUCAAGAGAUUGCCAAAAAGAGCAAGCAAUAUGCUUUAGCUUUUGAGCGACCACAAUCCUUGUAUUUAGUGCAUGACGAUAAAGUAAAUCAAUACUGGAAAUUAUUUUAAGCUUUGUUUUGGUAUAUAUAUUUAUGAAUAUGUAAAUAUUGGGACGUAUCGCUAAUUGCACUGACAUAAUAAAUGGUAUUCUGAUACAGAGCAUCCAUUCGUCUGGCCAGUGCAGUAUGCCAUCAAAGAGAAGCCGCUUUUGUUUACUUUUGAAUUAAUUUUAAGAUGUACACCUGAAUUCUUCAAUACGUAAGUUAUUUUAACGACAAUGUAGAUAAAUAAUAAAGUGUAAAUGGCCUAUAUAUUUGUUUGAAAU